CCUACGGGUGGCAGCAGUGAGGAAUAUUGGUCAAUGGGCGAGAGCCUGAACCAGCCAAGUCGCGUGAGGGAAGACGGUCCUAUGGAUUGUAAACCUCUUUUGCCGGGGAGCAAAAAGCGGUACGUGUACCGCAUCGAGAGUACCCGGAGAAAAAGCAUCGGCUAACUCCGUGCCAGCAGCCGCGGUAAUACGGAGGAUGCGAGCGUUAUCCGGAUUUAUUGGGUUUAAAGGGUGCGUAGGCGGAAUAUCAAGUCAGCGGUAAAAAUUCGGGGCUCAACCCCGUCGUGCCGUUGAAACUGAUGUUCUUGAGUGGGCGAGAAGUAUGCGGAAUGCGUGGUGUAGCGGUGAAAUGCAUAGAUAUCACGCAGAACUCCGAUUGCGAAGGCAGCAUACCGGCGCCCAACUGACGCUGAAGCACGAAAGCGUGGGUAUCGAACAGGAUUAGAUACCCGAGUAGUC
rnacentral:rRNA from 1 species